GACGGAGGAUGCAAGUGUUAUCCGGAAUCACUGGGCGUAAAGCGUCUGUAGGUGGUUUAAAAAGUCUACUGUUAAAGCUUGAAGCUUAACUUCAAAAAUGCCGUAGAAACUUUUAAACUUGAGUAUGGUAGGGGUAGAGGGAAUUUCCAGUGGAGCGGUGAAAUGCGUAGAUCUUGGAAAGACCACCAAUGGCGAAGGCACUCUACUGGGCCAUUACUGACGCUGAGGCACGAAAGCGUGGGGAGCAAACAGG
rnacentral:rRNA from 1 species